rnacentral:lncRNA from 1 species
AUUUUUUACUUUCAAUUUGUUACACUACUAAGUUUUUGACCGCCCCAAAAUUCUCAUAAUUUUUUGGAUAUAUUUAUAAUUUAUUGAAAUUAAUUAAACAAUUAUUAUUAUUUUUUUUGUUAUUUGUUUUACUUGCUGUUAGGGCUUUUAUGGUUCCUCUUCUACGUUUGCACACUACUAAAAAUUUGACCGCAGUGUAUGUUAUCCGGAAAAUUUAAAACAAUUUAAUUUUUAAGAUUCUUUUAUUUUGAAUCAUAUUUAUUUCUUGGUAUUUGGCUUUUUGAUUUUAGUACCACAACAAAACGUACCAAUUCAGCCAAGCUGUUUGGCAAUUGUGACAUGACAAACCUAUAUAAUAUAUUUCCGUCAUAAUAUGCACGAAAAUCUAAACAUUCAGAAAAAUAUAUGUAUGUAUGUAUAUACGCAAUAAUACAAAAGCAACCAAUUUAUAUAGUAUACUAAUUUUGCUACAGUUAUAUCGAACAAACUUACACAUUUGUACGAAUCCCAUGGGAACUUUAAAUACAUAAGUAACACAAAAUUAAAAUCUGAUAUCGCCCAUUGUAAAAUUAUGUGUUUAUAUUGAAGUACUUCAAGGACGGGCUGAUGAGUCAAGGCAGAUGUCUACCGUUUCUGUACCCACAAGUGGAGUCAUACAAGCGUUGAACUAGGAAGUGAAAAUCAAGAGGAAGCACCAAAAAAUAUCAUGUAAUCAAUAAGUGACUUAAAUAUAAAAGGAUUAUUAAAAACAAAUGAUUAUUGGAUAAAUACAUUACUGUAGAUAAAUAUGCACACAUAUUUUUAACCAUUACGGUUUUUUAAUAAUAAUGCAUCAUGAUUGGUAAAAAU